CUACCAUGCAGUCGAGCGGGGAGGGGUAGCUUGCUACCUAACCUAGCGGCGGACGGGUGAGUAAUGCUUAGGAAUCUGCCUAUUAGUGGGGGACAACAUCUCGAAAGGGAUGCUAAUACCGCAUACGUCCUACGGGAGAAAGCAGGGGAUCUUCGGACCUUGCGCUAAUAGAUGAGCCUAAGUCGGAUUAGCUAGUUGGUGGGGUAAAGGCCUACCAAGGCGACGAUCUGUAGCGGGUCUGAGAGGAUGAUCCGCCACACUGGGACUGAGACACGGCCCAGACUCCUACGGGAGGCAGCAGUGGGGAAUAUUGGACAAUGGGGGGAACCCUGAUCCAGCCAUGCCGCGUGUGUGAAGAAGGCCUUAUGGUUGUAAAGCACUUUAAGCGAGGAGGAGGCUACUUUAGUUAAUACCUAGAGAUAGUGGACGUUACUCGCAGAAUAAGCACCGGCUAACUCUGUGCCAGCAGCCGCGGUAAUACAGAGGGUGCAAGCGUUAAUCGGAUUUACUGGGCGUAAAGCGCGCGUAGGCGGCUAAUUAAGUCAAAUGUGAAAUCCCCGAGCUUAACUUGGGAAUUGCAUUCGAUACUGGUUAGCUAGAGUGUGGGAGAGGAUGGUAGAAUUCCAGGUGUAGCGGUGAAAUGCGUAGAGAUCUGGAGGAAUACCGAUGGCGAAGGCAGCCAUCUGGCCUAACACUGACGCUGAGGUGCGAAAGCAUGGGGAGCAAACAGGAUUAGU
rnacentral:rRNA from 1 species